rnacentral:rRNA from 1 species
CCGAAAGGAGGAUUAAUACCCCAUAAUAAAUUGAAUGGCAUCAUUUGAUUUUGAAAGUUCCGACGGUUAAGGAUGAGUAUGCGUCUGAUUAGCUAGUUGGUGAGGUAAAGGCUCACCAAGGCAACGAUCAGUAGGGGAUCUGAGAGGACUACCCCCCACACUGGUACUGAGACACGGACCAGACUCCUACGGGAGGCAGCAGUAAGGAAUAUUGGUCAAUGGAGGCAACUCUGAACCAGCCAUGCCGCGUGCAGGAAGACGGCCCUAUGGGUUGUAAACUGCUUUUGUACGGGAGAAAACCCUUUCACGUGUGAGAGGUUGAUAGUACCGUAAGAAUAAGCAUCGGCUAACUUCGUGCCAGCAGCCGCGGUAAGACGAAGGAUGCAAGCGUUAUCCGGAUUCAUUGGGUUUAAAGGGAGCGUAGGUGGACUUGUAAGUCAGUGGUGAAAUCUCUCAGCUUAACUGAGAAACUGCCAUUGAUACUGCAGGUCUUGAGUACAGAUGAUGUGGGCGGAAUAUGACAUGUAGUGGUGAAAUACUUAGAUAUGUCAUAGAACACCGAUUGCGAA